AGCGACGUGGCUGAGCGGCAGGUAGCUGACCACCAAUUCCUGAGCCUGAGUAGCGUCUGUCAGACGCACGUGGCGGCUGGUGGAGAGCGCGGUCCAGGUUAUCUGAGGGGAAGGCGAGAGGACUACAUUUAAUAUAAGGAUUUCUACUGUUGUUCUGCCUGUGAUGUUGAGCUAGAUCAGCCGCUCAAUCAAGGAAAGUGCAAACAGUGCCGUCAUCGAGGGAGUCUGCGCUGUGUCCUGCACUGCACGAUGACUUCAGGAAGCCGCCCCCUCUGGGAGGCUCCAUCACCACGGCUUCAGACAUGGCGGUGGGCUCACACACGGUCACUGAGAGGAGAGCGGAGGGACGGGAUUUGUUAGCUACUGUACUGUAUAUUUGACAAGCACAUCACCUUCAAGCAUCUGCAACAAGUAAAGUUAUGGCUGUAACGGGUGAUAACUUGACACAAGACAUGUGUCAAGUAGUGUAAGCAUAUUCAAUACUCGGGUACAUCUGCAAAAAGACAAAAACUCUCCUCCCCCUAAUGUCCAAAUCUAGGACGUUUAAGCUAAUUCAUUGGUGAUUUUAGUAUAAAGCUGCAACUCGACGUCUUCAAAUGCGUUCUGUCCAACCAACUGCCUAAAACCAAAAGAUGAGAUGAAACUGUGAAAGGAGGUAGAUCCUAACAAUUGAGAUGCUACAACCAGAGAGUGAUUUGAAUUUUUGAUAAAGUGAUUAUCAAACUAGUUGCCGACUAAUUUUCUGACUUAUGAUUACUGAUGUUUGUUUAUUUUUUGCACUUUAUUGCUAAUUUGUUUGUUAUUAUAAUGGUGAGUCCGCUUUGUAGCAUGUAUCCAAAUCAUCUGAGAAAAACUUGAUUAAUUAGAUUUAUGAUGUCACUACAUUCAGAGGA